rnacentral:tRNA from 1 species
AAUGGGGUGCCUGAUAAAAGGGCUAUCUUGAUAGGAUCGAUUAUGUAGAAUUAUCUACCCCCAUUA